UGAUUUUCACGCGUGCCUUUUGUUAUCGUGUAUAUUGAUCAUAUUGUAAAAAAAAUCUACGAAGAAACGAGUAGAAAGUGGAUUUUAAAUUAAAACAUCGCGAAAAAUGGGUUUCUCUCGUCCAGCCUCCUUUUGCUGUGAGCAGACUGGAUCUAGUGAGUGAAAACAGCAACGCAGUCUUCUGAAACGUCCGAGUGUCUCCGCAGCUCCCCUCCACAACUUUGUUUAUAAACUGAAAUUCAGACUAACGGGAGCGUGUGCGCGAUAAAACGACUCCAUACUCCGACAGAGUCGACAUCAAUAUUUUUUUAUCGACAGGAGGUUACGCCUGACAUUUAAGCAAUGGAUUGUUUUCAAUGUUUUCGGUGGUAGGUUGCCAGGGAAUAUUGGAACCCGGGCUGUUUGGGUGCCGCUUUGGACAUCGGAUCAAUUUAACCACUGUUCAGGUGUACAAAGUUGGCGAAAUGUCGGGGACAGUGUACACGUGACUGGAAACCGUCGUCUCUUUUGAGUGACAGAAGACAGAAUAAAGGAAAAGGUUUCCGAAACUGUGUCAAGAAGCCAGUGUCAUGGAAAGAAUCGUGGAAAGAUGUUUUUAAAGGCACAGAAAGAAAUUAACUCCUGAGGUUUUCAGUUCUUUUUAAGUUUUUAACAUCCACAAUGAGAAGCUUCAAGGGUCGAGGAUAAACACCCAACUCAUUAACGUGGGAUGAAGCGCGAAGAUCGUUUUCCUCUGUCCAAUCUUCCUUUUGUUGCUUCGAUCAAGGCGGUGAACACAUCCGGGGACUUUCCAGGAGCCACCACCCUGUCACGGGACGAGACGGCGUCCUACCCGAGUUCUUAUGAAGGUGAAGAUGAUGUCGGCCCUUUUAUUUAGGUGGGA